rnacentral:rRNA from 1 species
GACGAACGCUGGCGGCGUGCCUAAUACAUGCAAGUCGAACGCACAGUUUAUACCGUAGCUUGCUACACCAUAAACUGUGAGUUGCGAACGGGUGAGUAACGCGUAGGUAACCUGCCUGGUAGCGGGGGAUAACUAUUGGAAACGAUAGCUAAUACCGCAUAAUAUUGAUUAUUGCAUGAUAAUUGAUUGAAAGAUGCUAUUGCAUCACUACCAGAUGGACCUGCGUUGUAUUAGCUAGUAGGUGAGGUAACGGCUCACCUAGGCGACGAUACAUAGCCGACCUGAGAGGGUGAUCGGCCACACUGGGACUGAGACACGGCCCAGACUCCUACGGGAGGCAGCAGUAGGGAAUCUUCGGCAAUGGACGAAAGUCUGACCGAGCAACGCCGCGUGAGUGAAGAAGGUUUUCGGAUCGUAAAGCUCUGUUGUAAGAGAAGAACGGGUGUGAGAGUGGAAAGUUCACACUGUGACGGUAUCCUACCAGAAAGGGACGGCUAACUACGUG